AGCGAACGCUGGCGGCAGGCUUAACACAUGCCAGUCGAGCGGGCAUCUUCGGAUGUCAGCGGCAGACGGGUGAGUAACACGUGGGAACGUACCCUUCGGUUCGGAACAACUCUGGGAAACUGGAGCUAAUACCGGAUACGCCCUUAUGGGGAAAGGUUUACUGCCGAAGGAUCGGCCCGCGUCUGAUUAGCUAGUUGGUGGGGUAACGGCCUACCAAGGCGACGAACAGUAGCUGGUCUGAGAGGAUGAUCAGCCACACUGGGACUGAGCCACGGCACAGACUCCUACGGGAGGAAGGAGUGGGGAAUAUUGGAAAAUGGGCGCAAGGCUGAUCCAGCCAUGACGCGUGAGUGAUGAAGGCAUUAGGGUUGUAAAGCUCUUUUGUCCGGGACGAUAAUGACGGUACCGGAAGAAUAAGCCCCGGCUAACUUCGUG
rnacentral:rRNA from 1 species